AACAGGGAUUGCCUUAGUAGCGGCGAGUGAAGCGGCAAAAGCUCAAAUUUGAAAUCUGGCUCUUUCAGAGUCCGAGUUGUAAUUUGAAGAAGGUAUCUUUGGGUCUGGCUCUUGUCUAUGUUUCUUGGAACAGAACGUCACAGAGGGUGAGAAUCCCGUGCGAUGAGAUGAUCCAGGCCUAUGUAAAGUUCCUUCGAAGAGUCGAGUUGUUUGGGAAUGCAGCUCUAAGUGGGUGGUAAAUUCCAUCUAAAGCUAAAUAUUGGCGAGAGACCGAUAGCGAACAAGUACAGUGAUGGAAAGAUGAAAAGAACUUUGAAAAGAGAGUGAAAAAGUACGUGAAAUUGUUGAAAGGGAAGGGCUUGAGAUCAGACUUGGUAUUUUGUAUGUUACUUCUUCGGGGGUGGCCUCUACAGUUUAUCGGGCCAGCAUCAGUUUGGGCGGUAGGAGAAUUGCGUUGGAAUGUGGCACGGCUUCGGUUGUGUGUUAUAGCCUUCGUCGAUACUGCCAGCCUAGACUGAGGACUGCGGUUUAUACCUAGGAUGUUGGCAUAAUGAUCUUAAGUCGC
rnacentral:rRNA from 1 species